CACGUAGGGUGCGAGCGUUGUCCGGAAUUAUUGGGCGUAAAGAGCUCGUAGGCGGUCUGUCGCGUCUGCUGUGAAAACUCAGGGCUUAACCCUGAGCUUGCAGUGGGUACGGGCAGACUAGAGUGUGGUAGGGGAGACUGGAAUUCCUGGUGUAGCGGUGAAAUGCGCAGAUAUCAGGAGGAACACCGAUGGCGAAGGCAGGUCUCUGGGCCACUACUG
rnacentral:rRNA from 1 species